GCCAAGUCGACUCCGAGCAAAGAGGGCAGUUAGCGGCUGCGCGCGGAGCGCAGCGCGGUGAAGCUCUCGGGAUCCGGGUCCGAGCCGGGCCGAGCUCGGAGCACGCGCCUGCGCAUUAACCACCCCCGCCUCCUUUUCCCGCCGACCGAGGGGGCGUGGGCAGGGCAGGGCGCACGCGUAGUGGGCCUCGCGCGCGCCGCGAGUAAUGUGGGAAUCUGCGUUCCCUGCGGCUGCACGCCCCGAGUGGGUCUUCAUGCUGCUGCUUUCCGCUUGUUUUUCGGCCUCGCACCCUCGGUGAGAGCUUGAACCGUGGAGGGCGCCGCGACCGACGCCUUCUCCUAGAGCCAUCAGAAUGGGAGCUCCAGGACGACUGGCCCCUGAGGCCCCGUACUGAACAGCGCCUGGCACCGAGCCUCACCGAGUGUCUUCACCGAUCACGUGGGCUGAUGACCGCUCCCUCCCCCCACCCCCCAGGACUGAGGGGAGAAUAUUGGACGCCCUGGGCUCAUUCGCGACUCACCUGCUACGCAACAUCCCGCGGGCUCUGCCUCAUCUCCUAAAUAGAGCCCAGAUCCGCCCGUUCUCCCCAGCAGGGCUCUCUCUCCCUACUCCAGGCCAGACCAUUCUCAUCUCUCUCCUGGAAAACCCGAUAGCAUCUUUCUCUCAAUGCUCUCUUUCCUUUCAUUCUUAUGAAAUAAGCAGCACACAGAGGAAUCUUUCAAAAAUGUGAAUUAGAUCAAGGGCACAUCUUUUCUCAGUGCUUCCAAAGGGCUUUCUACUGAACUUGGAAUAAAUUCGAAACUUCUUGUUCAGGCUUACAAAGCCCCCCUGUUUUUUGCUGCCAUGCUUCCCCUUGCUCGUUGCAGUUCAGCCAUAUGGGUCUUUCUGUGUCCUUGGAGCUCACCAAACCCCUUCCAGCCUCAGGAUCUUUGCACUGGCUGAUCCCUCUGCUUGGGACUUUGUGUCCCUUUUUUUCCUGUUUGAGUCCCAGCUUCACUCCUGCUCCAGUAUGAUCUGGAGGAGGAGGUCCUAUAGCCUGUGGGCCACAUUUUUAAUUAUUGGGAGAAAACCAAAAGAAGAAGAAUUGCUCAUGACAUGUGAAAAUUGUAUGGAAUUUAAAUUUCAGUGUCCAUAAAUGUAGAUGUAUUUGAAAACAGCCAUACUUAGUUAUUGACAUAAUGUCUAUGGCUGCUUCUGACCUGCAGAAGCAGAGCUGAGCCCUUUUAACGGACUGUCGGGCCAACAAACUUAAAAUAUUUACUCUUUGCGGCUUUAUAGAAGUUUGCCAACCUCUAAUCUAGGACACGUGUAUUUACAUGGUUGUUCUAUACAUUUCUGUACAACCAAUGGGGUGUGGUGAAUGUUUAACAACAGCUGCUUCUCUGGGGGGAGAACGUGUGUUUCUGUCUGUGUUUAUAUGUGUGCCUGUGUGUGUAUAGUUUAUUGUAAAUUUUACUGUUUUCCCAUCACUUUAAGUCUUGAAGACAAUAAAAUAAUCAAUUGGACCCUG